rnacentral:misc_RNA from 1 species
AGAAAUUUCAGUUAGCCGGCGGCGCGGAGAUUGUCGGCCGACGACUUGCCCGAACGGCGAUCGGCGACGAUUUCGUAGCUGAUCUUCUGGCCUUCGCGCAGCGUUCCCAGACCAGCGCGCUCGACGGCGCUGAUGUGAACGAACACGUCGUUUCCGCCAUCGUCAGGCUGAAUGAAACCGUAACCCUUAGUCGCGUUGAACCACUUCACUGUUCCCAUGCUCACGCAGGUAGUCCUUCUCAAGAUAGAUAUAGUCAAAGCCCACGUCUAAAUGGGCUGGUGAGAUCGAAAUUUGGAUGAGGUCGUCAGCGUCUAAACCGGCUGUA